AUUGAACGCUGGCGGCAGGCCUAACACAUGCAAGUCGAGCGGAUGAAGGGAGCUUGCUCCUGGAUUCAGCGGCGGACGGGUGAGUAAUGCGUAGGAAUCUGCUUGGUAGUGGGGGAUAACGUCCGGAAACGGGCGGUAAUACAGCAUACGUCCUGAGGGAGAAAGUGGGGGAUCUUCGGACCUCACGCUAUCAGAUGAGCCUAGGUCGGAUUAGCUAGUUGGUGGGGUAAAGGCCUACCAAGGCGACGAUCCGUAACUGGUCUGAGAGGAUGAUCAGUCACACUGGAACUGAGACACGGUCCAGACUCCUACGGGAGGCAGCAGUGGGGAAUAUUGGACAAUGGGCGAAAGCCUGAUCCAGCCAUGCCGCGUGUGUGAAGAAGGUCUUCGGAUUGUAAAGCACUUUAAGUUGGGAGGAAGGGCAGUAAGUUAAUACCUUGCUGUUUUGACGUUACCAACAGAAUAAGCACCGGCUAACUUCGUG
rnacentral:rRNA from 1 species